rnacentral:rRNA from 1 species
GGGUGAGUAACACGUGGGUGAUCUGCCCUGCACUUCGGGAUAAGCCUGGGAAACUGGGUCUAAUACCGGAUAGGACCAUGUUUUGGAUGGUGUUGUGGAAAGUUUUUCGGUGUGGGAUGAGCUCGCGGCCUAUCAGCUUGUUGGUGGGGUAAUGGCCUACCAAGGCGUCGACGGGUAGCCGGCCUGAGAGGGUGUACGGCCACAUUGGGACUGAGAUACGGCCCAGACUCCUACGGGAGGCAGCAGUGGGGAAUAUUGCACAAUGGGCGCAAGCCUGAUGCAGCGACGCCGCGUGGGGGAUGACGGCCUUCGGGUUGUAAACUCCUUUCGCUAGGGACGAAGCGCAAGUGACGGUACCUGGAGAAGAAGCACCGGCUAACUACGUGCCAGCAGCCGCGGUAAUACGUAGGGUGCGAGCGUUGUCCGGAAUUACUGGGCGUAAAGAGCUCGUAGGUGGUUUGUCGCGUCGUUUGUGUAAGCCCGCAGCUUAACUGCGGGACUGCAGGCGAUACGGGCAUAACUUGAGUGCUGUAGGGGAGACUGGAAUUCCUGGUGUAGCGGUGGAAUGCGCAGAUAUCAGGAGGAACACCGAUGGCGAAGGCAGGUCUCUGGGCAGUAACUGACGCUGAGGAGCGAAAGCAUGGGUAGCGAACAGGAUUAGAUACCCUGGUAGUCCAUGCCGUAAACGGUGGGCGCUAGGUGUGAGUCCCUUCCACGGGGUUCGUGCCGUAGCUAACGCAUUAAGCGCCCCGCCUGGGGAGUACGGCCGCAAGGCUAAAACUCACAGGAAUUGACGGGGGCCCGCACAAGCGGCGGAGCAUGUGGAUUAAUUCCAUGCAACGCGCAAAAACCUUACCUGGGGCUUGACAUACACC